GUCAUUACAGUUCUUUAAGAUCGUGUUGCA
rnacentral:piRNA from 1 species